UGUAUAAGCAACGAGAGCCAGUGGGUGCAGCGCUAUCAAAUUUAAACAGUGAUACUGCUCCGCUGACAAGUUUUGAGUAUAACAUUAUACAAGAAUCAUUGUCACUACUGCAGCCUUUCAAACUCGCAACGACAGAGUUGUCAGAGGAACAGAGAGUGUCUGCUUCAAAGCUCAUACCACUUUACAGGAUGUUGCAGCACAAGCUAUCGCAGAAAAAAGGCCAAUCAGCACAGGAAUCAACUGCACAAUUAGGCACACACCUGCAAGAAGGUCUGCACUCAAGAUGUGGUGGGUACGAGUCAUUCAGAGCCUUGGCUCUGGCUACACUGCUGGACCCAAGGUUCAAAAAUGUGGGUUUUGGAAAUCCUGCCAAAGCCCAGGAGGCUGAAAAGCAGAUCACACUGGAGUGUGCUUCGCUGAUGCGUUCAAACACAGCAACUCCUGAGCCACAGUCAACAUCAGGCCCAUCAUCAUCAUCAUCAACAACAACAUCAA